UGAGUAACCUGCCCUUCACUCUGGGAUAACUCCGGGAAACCGGGGCUAAUACUGGAUAUGACUCGAACAGGCAUCUGUUUCGGGUGGAAAGAUUUAUUGGUGGAGGAUGGACUCGCGGCCUAUCAGCUUGUUGGUGAGGUAAUGGCUCACCAAGGCGACGACGGGUAGCCGGCCUGAGAGGGCGAUCGGCCACACUGGGACUGAGACACGGCCCAGACUCCUACGGGNGCA
rnacentral:rRNA from 1 species